GACGAACGCUGGCGGCGUGCCUAAUACAUGCAAGUCGAACGCAAAACUUUCACCGAAUGCUUGCAUUCACGAAAGUUUUGAGUGGCGAACGGGUGAGUAACACGUGGGUAACCUGCCCAGAAGAGGGGGAUAACACUUGGAAACAGGUGCUAAUACCGCAUAAUAACAAAAACCGCAUGGUUUUUGUUUGAAAGAUGGUUUUGCUAUCACUUCUGGAUGGACCCGCGGCGUAUUAGCUAGUUGGUAAGGUAAAGGCUUACCAAGGCAAUGAUACGUAGCCGAACUGAGAGGUUGAUCGGCCGCAUUGGGACUGAGACACGGCCCAAACUCCUACGGGAGGCAGCAGUAGGGAAUCUUCCACAAUGGACGAAAGUCUGAUGGAGCAACGCCGCGUGAGUGAAGAAGGUUUUCGGAUCGUAAAACUCUGUUGUCAGAGAAGAACGUGUGCGAGAGUAACUGUUCGUGCAGUGACGGUAUCUGGCCAGAAAGCCACGGCUAACUACGUGCCAGCCGCCGCUGUAA
rnacentral:rRNA from 1 species